GGAAAGAUGCUAGAAUGGUAAUAGGCCAGUUUGCUAAACUGCUUCACGCUUGUGAUUAUGGGUUCAAGCCCCAUUCUUUCCG
rnacentral:tRNA from 1 species